AAGAGUUCAUACUGAGCAUCAAGUCGGGGCAGCGAACCUCCCAGGUCUGCAGCUCCAGCGGUCUCGCCUUAGCGACCGUCCACUUAGGAUGGAGGUGAACUCACAGAGUAACCGAGACAGGGUCUUGCCAUGUCACUCAAGCUGACCUGCAGUGGUGUGGCGUGAUCAUGGCUCACUGCAACCUUGAACUCCUGGACUCCAAAUAUCUGGGACCACAAGCAGGCACUGCCUCACCAGGCUAAUUUUUUAACUUUUUUUUUCUAUUUUUUGGUAAAGACGGGGUCUUGCUGAGUUACCCAGGCUAGUUUGGCUUCAAGUGAUCCUCUCACUUUGGCCUCCCAAAGUUCUAGGAUUAGCACCCACCUGGUUGGAACAUUUAUACAAAGCAAUGCACAAGCGGCAACAAAGGCAAAAGGAGGCUGGCGGGCUUGGAGAAACGCCCUGCAAUACCUAUGCAGAGGUUCUCCCACUUCAGUGAUACAAAUCCUCUACUGAGGAACCAGUUCCUGCACCAGUCGCAGGAAUGACACUGGGACAGAUUCCCUGGAGGGUGGAUCAUAAAGCUGCAGUUUUACCAGGGGUCCUGCUGUUGGGGCAGCUGGCUCAAGGACCAAGCCCAAAGAAGACAUUGAGAGGAAGGCUGCAUGCCAGGGUGUAGGAGUAAUGACCAGGAUCAGUGCACCAACUGGCCCCACUGUGUCAUUAAAAUGCCCUGCAAUGGAAUCCAUCCUGGUCAGGCAGGGGAGUGUGCCUCCAGCAAAGGACCAGGUGUUUCACUGCAUAUGCAGCAGGUGUUGCUUAGUGAAGACAAACCCAAAAUGACAAGUUUGUUAGCUGAUGUGAUCCUGCAAAUGAAUCUACCCACCAAGGAGGAUUUUCUCCCUCUACUAGUAAAACUGAGACCUUGUCACUAGAAGUUCAGGUAAGUCCACAGUGCUCACCUUCCAAAACCACACCUAUUUCCAGUGGUGAUGGUUUGUGCCACAGGCCAAGUCCUGAACAUCAUGACGCUCAGACACUCUUCACUGAAGACAUGUGGACAGACCCUGGGGCCACCAUUUUCUCCUCUCUGGAGUGUUGGAGCAGCUCUGACCAGAACAGGACCCCCAUGCCUAGAAGCAGGGUGAGCCCUGGCUCAUGGGGGACCCUGCUGGGCUUGGCCAUUGCCACCUAGAGAUCAGGCAGCCUUGUUUCUUCCUACUUUCUCCAGGAGAAGAGAAAACUUUUCUAAUGGUGUGAUGGAGCACAGAGCACCUGCCAAAAGGCCUUCCUUCAGUCCUGGUCAGAGGCCCAACCACCAGUCUGUCUUAGUGCCUAAUCAAACAUUUAGAUUUAGGUUUUAGAUAUUGCCUGUUUUUACUUGAAAUUCUUGACUUAGAAUUAUUCCCAGUGGGGCCAGGUGUAGUGGCUCAUGGAAACAAAUUUAAAAUAAUCAGAUUAGCAUGUCAAAAGAUCUCACGUUACAGAAAGUGAAGAUCUAAGACCAAAUAAAUACUGAUCAAAAAUAAAGACA